AACGUAGGACACAAGCGUUAUCCGGAAUUACUGGGCGUAAAGCGUGCGUAGGUGGUGAGUUAAGUCUGUCGUGAAAGCCCCGGGCUCAACCUGGGAAUGGCGAUGGAUACUGGCUCGCUAGAGUGCGGUAGAGGAGAGUGGAAUUCCCGGUGUAGCAGUGAAAUGCGUAGAGAUCGGGAGGAACAUCAGUUGCGAAGGCGGCUCUCUGGACCAGCACUGACACUGAGGCACGAAAGCGUGGGGAGCAAACAGG
rnacentral:rRNA from 1 species